UCCACCUCGAGAUUUUCUUACUACCGUUGGAUUAUUCCAACGGUUCAGAUUCACUAUCAGCUCCCAACUCUCCAUUAGUCCAUUUCUAUAGAACGCAGCUCUGCAGCCGAGGUUCCCGAAAAUUCAGUUACAAGCCACUGGAGUAAGAAGAAGCUUAGAAGAAACGCAGAGGAAGCUGAGUAAUUUCCCCCUCAUUUCGUAAGCAAUAAGGUCUGCAGUAACCUUCUCUUCCUUUCUUGAUCUUUUCUCUGACUCUUUUAAGUUUAGAUCUGUGGCUGAGCUAAAAUUGGAUCCUUUGUUUGAAGAUGGAGAUGGAGAAGAAGAACCCAGAAUUGAAGCACUUAGUGUUCGUGAGGAUCGCAGCUAUCCAGGUUCUGGUGUACGUUUCGAAUCUAUACGAUUACGCGAAGCAGAACUCGGGGCCACUGAGAUCUACGGUUGGGACGGUCGAGAGUGCUGUAACUACCGUUGUGAGCCCAGUCUACCGGAAAUUCAAGGACUUGCCCGAUGAUCUUCUUGUAUUUCUUGAUAAUAAGGUGAUUACAGUAUAAUUCUUUUGUUUGGUUUCUUUGGAUUCUAGCUCAUCUUCUAAUUAGAAAGUAUUGGUUUGGAUCAAUUGUUCAGCUUUCGAGUCUUGAGCUGCUAAGAAUCUUAACGGAAUGUAUUCCUAGUUGAGCACUUGAGCUGCUUAAUUCUUUUUAUUUGUUUAUAAAUCUUAGCUGGCAUGAUCUCCUAGCAGCGGUUCAAUGUAAUUUUAGCCAAGGUCCUCUGGCCUUGUGGUAUCUUGUGUAAAUAGAUGAUAGCUGUUUGCUUCAUAAUCUUUUUACCGCUUGAUUUUAUGCAAGUUCUGUAACUAUUUUUUCCUUGGGUUUGUUUUAUGUAUUUUGGGUUGGAAUUGCAUACGUAAUCUACCCAUGACUGAUUCUAUGUUCUUUGCUGAAUUUUUCUGCAGAUUGCUGAGGAUGUUAUGUUCUCUGUUCUUGUAUUUAAUUCUAACCAUGACCCUAGUAGCGUUUUCAAUAAAUUAUAGGUCAAUAUAUAGCAUCGUGAACAAUUGUUAUAUUGGAUUUGGUAUGAACCCAGAUAGAAGAGUAAUUGUGAUUUUAAUUUCCCCUUUGGAUUUCUGCGAUUGAAGGAUGGCUAACAACUGUUUGGUUGCUGCAGGUAGACGAAGGUACAAGAAAGUUUGAUAAGCAUGCUCCACCUGUUGCUAAGCAGGCUGUGAGUCAAGCCCAGAGCUUUUUACAGAUAGCAUCACAGAAGCUCCAAGAACUUGUGCAUGAAGCUAGCGCUGGAGGCCCGCGUGCUGCUGUGCGUUAUGCAACCACAGAGUUGAAGCACUUGGCGCUCACCCAAUCUGUAAAGGUGUGGAUUAAACUCAACCAGUUCCCUGUGCUUCACACAGUUGCAGAUAUGGUCGCUCCCACAGCUGCACACUUGUCGGAGAAGUACAACCAUACCGUUAAGGGCAUGGCCCAGAAUGGUUAUAAAGUCUUUAAUUAUGUGCCCUUGGUUUCACUUGAUGAUAUAGCCAGGGCAUUUAAGCAAGGUGAAACAGAGAAGAAAGAAAAUGCAACUGCACAUGAUUCAUCAGAUUCGGAUUAGAAGGUCGAUUCUUAGUCCAAUGGGUUUGCUUCUAGGUUCGCGAAAAUGUGAUAAGGUGUGCGUCUCUGGCAAAUCUGCAAAUGGGUCUUUUGGACUUCUUAAUGUGGUGAUGAAUGUGAAUGGUUUGUAAAUCUACUAGAUCGUCAUAAGAUUGGCCUAAUUGAUGUAACAUUGAGUGAAACUAUCCAAUGCUCGUAGUAGAAGAUAAAUUCAUUUAAAAACAAGUGGCGUGGAGCACCUAUUUGCUCAACACACAGGCAGAGGAAGAGGGCUAGAAGGAUGGUCAACAUUCCACAAAGAGAUUUACUCCAUAACACGAGUUAUAUGGACAAGUUAUUCAAAAUCAUGAACUAGUCCGGAAUAUUAUCACAGACUAGCUGACAAAUCAUGCAGGAAACGAAUUACAAGACAAUGCAACCUUUCUGUCUACUUUAAAAGAAGUCUCCAUCUCAAUCUGGCUGCAUCACUGAAAACAUAAGUAAAUAACACUAGUAAGUAUCACAGUUAAUAAAAUGAAUAAACAGAUUUGCUAAUCUCCUGUUAAACUUAGAUAAAAGAUUUGAUCCGGUAACUGAAUAUGAAAAUUUGACUAGAGAAAGAAACAUAGGCAAAUGAUCCACAGCAGCACAUUCAUAUAUCCAUCUCUCUCACUCAUCAUUAAGUUACAAUGACAAUUACUAAAAAAAAGACAAAUGGGCUAAAUACAACAAUAAAACAUCAAUACUAACAAAUAACCUAUUCAUACUGGCAUGACUAACCCUCGAAGCUAAUUUGCAUACAUUUGACAUGACCAGACAUAUAUUAUUUGAAGAGGCUAUGCCAAAAAAAUGCAAUUGUUUCAAGAGGAUCUCUGUUAUCAAGAACAAUUGAAUAUGAUGUACCACCUUAAGCAUAACAUUACAUGGUUAUGAAAUAAAGAUAGACAAAAUUUAUGCAGGAAAUGAAACCAAAAUAUAUGAAACUCUGGCAUAGAGAGAAUUUCAUUAUCAAUCGAAUAGAACAACAAUUCAUUUCCGAAAUUAAUUACAUUGCACCCUAGCAACUUCAUACUCUCAUUUUCAAGGCUACUUACAUAUAUAUCAAGAUUCAAGAAUAUUAGUAGAAAUGCUUCUUGAUCAAGUUUAGGUACAAAAGAAAAAGAAGAAGAUGAAGAAGAAAUUGCGGCAUAAUUUUAAAGCCUCAAAACAAUCAUAUAAAAAACUCAACAAUUGGAAGACAAAUAUAGUGAAAUUUAUUGUCACGAUAAACAAUAAAGACCCUGUAUUUUUCACUCCCAUAUUAACCAAAGCUCUGGUAAAUUCAUCCCCUAUUUCCACUCAGAAAGAGAGAAUACAAGCACGCAGAAAUGACCCAUAAACCAAAUAUACAGCACCAUCUUCAUCCAAUAACCAAGCAUUCAACACAAGAAUUGAAGGGGAAAACAUCAAACCAUACAAAAUCAUCAUAAUCAAUCAUUUUAAAUACAAUCCACUAGUGGGGGCCAAAAAAACUAACCUCAAUGUUCACUUGGGGGAGCCAUAGCUUUCUUGGAGGAGGUCAUCGUAGGGGUCCCUACGGCCGGGCACCUGGCUAAUCUGAGCAUCCCAAGCGAGCUGGGCAUUGUGGCGCUCAAAUGUCCAGAACCCAUAAGGGCGAAGUGGAUAACUCCACAUCUCUUUGGUCUUGUUGCAUCGAUCCUUCACAGCAUAUACGUGCUCCCUGAAUUUGCGAUCCCUCUCCUUCGGAUCCUCCAUCAACCUCAGAACCAAAUUCUCGGCGAAUUCCAUGAUAAAUCCCAUCCUUCCUUUAAAAGAACCCUAGAAUUUCAAAUCAAACAAACUCAGCGAAAAAAAAUUUCAAUAAGAAACAAGAAAUCAGGUCCUCAAAUCGAUCUGUUGAAUUCAGAUAAUAUGAGGAAAUCGAGUGGACAUUGACAUGCUUGAGCGUACCAGUUCACUGUUCAGAGCUUAGAACCAGCGAAGCAGAGAGGCGUGUUUAUGGCCG
rnacentral:misc_RNA from 1 species